AUUAUAUUGGGCUGGUGUAAGACUGGUCUUCCGUCCCGGUAGGGGGCAGUAUGCUAAGGGAGCUUAGGAUCAGAGUAUCAGGGAAUAGCCCAGGGGGGUGUUGAUAGAAACAGCUGUUUUGUAAAUAUCUUUAGGUUGUGCACAGGGUGUGGGUAUAUAUGUAUUUGGUGAUUGUUUAUUUAGUUUCAUGUUUAUUUAGUAUUCACACAAUGUACUUUAUGUUCAGUUAUGUUGGAUUGGUAGCUUUAGGUAAAUAAUGUUCCCCCAACUAAUGGUCUGGCCCAUACGGCCGUGAUUGGUCCAAUUGCCAUUUCCCUAUUUAAGGGCUUUCUCAUUUGAUGUUUGGGGCUGAAGGUGGUGCUGGCUCGACGUGAGGCCAGUACGAGAGACGUAUGGUUAGGUUAGGUUAGGCUAUGCUAUGCUAUGUUAUGUUUUCUUUUCUCAGACCACCACAGUGUUAGAUGACUGACAAGAUCUAUGGGGGGGCCCCCUUUGGGCCCCCCCAUACUAACUUAGUCUUCAAAGGAAUCUAGUGCCAUGGGACUCCAGUGUCUUCAAAACAUCCUCGGAAUACAUGUGUAUGAAUGGUCCAACGAAGGGUUGAUCUGGAAGCCACCGCGGUCCACGCAGUAAUCUGCUGCGUGGGCCGUAGUGGCUUCCAGAGCCAUCUUUCGGUCUAGGUCAGGUACAGUAACGGUUGCCCUUCAAUGUAGCAGGCUACGGGUUUCUAAAGAAGCCUGCUUUACGUAGCAUUGGAGUACAAAUAUUGUGCAAAAUGCUCAUGUAAUUGCACUAGCACUGGUAACCUGUAGAUUAGCUUAGUUUAACGUCAUUCGGAGCUGUCUGUCAAAUGUGUGGCUUACUUUAAGUCCACAAGGCCCUCUGGUUAACCACGUUGGAACACCCCUGGACAAGGUGAUUAGUCACUGGGUGUGUGCUAAAGUUUUGUUCCAUUUUUCACUAGUUGGUUAAGGUUUGGUAGAAUUGUUUGGAUGCUAGCGACGUGAUGGCGUAUGUACAAGAGCCUACCGUGGCCAGGCCACAGUUGCGACGGCCACGGCCAGAUGGCCUAGUGUGAGUGCAACCUUGAUUGCCUUUGUAUACUGUUUACCAUUGGAUGUUUAUGCAAUUUGGCUUAAUUCAUCCACUGUAAAGCUGCAUUUGACUAUUCCAGGGUCGUUUUGUACAGGCUUUCAAUUGACCUUGUUGACUAGGUUGUGCGAAGUUUUUUUUUUUUUUUUACCCUUGCUUACAAUCCAACGGUUGCGACCACUUAUGCAACUGGGCUGUGAACCUUGCAAUUCUAGUUGCAUAUUUGUACACGCAAGCUUGUCCAUUUCUAUCGCCAUCACUAACACUAGCUUCAGCAUUUCCUUGUAGGCCAUUAGCUAACUUGUGUAUUGGAGCGAUGAUUUGGGUAUUUUAAGAUGCUUGAAAACCUAAAAUAAAGCAAAAUGCGUGUCUGGUGUGCAAGAGCCAAUUUGUUGGCUUGCAGUAGUCGAGGAGUUGCCGUAGGUCGUAAGCCAUCUGGAGGUUGUGGCAAUGGAGGCUUGUGGUAGAUCUGCCAUCCAAGAAAGGUUAAUUCUUCUGAAGCAUGAUUAAUAGUUUAGUAAAUUGAAUCUAUUCAUAUAGAACUAUAAAAUCCAAGACUGCAGCCAGUAACUUGGAUCGCAAUAUGUGGCAAGUAUUGGUCUUCAUUUGUAACAACAGAAUAAUUAACAUGACUAACUGGGUUUCUUCCAUUUUCUAACUAGGGGGACUUGACUGAGUCUACUGGAUUAAUCAGUGGCGGUACUUUGCCCAACAGAUUUGAUGGCAUGACUACAGGGUGACAAAGACAAUUAUUCCCUGCCUAUCAAAAGAGACUUCUAAAACAUAUCUGCUAGAACAGUUCCUAUACUUUUUGUAUAAUUUGGUCAUGCUGCAAAUUUACUUUUUGUAGUUGCUCCAUAUUUAGUUCUUUGACAGCCUCGCCUGCUAGAAAAGUCCAUUCAAAUCGGCUAAAUAUUAUGAACUAAAUGAAUAGCCAUGAAAUGUUGUCACUCAUACUAAUGGCAAAUACCCCCUUUCAGUUGGUGGUUCAACACUGAUGUCUCUCUAGGCUUGAGGGAGAGCUCACAAGUAAAUUACACAAAUGUCCUGGAGCAAUUGGGAAUACACUUUUAUUUAGUCUACCUGACCAGGGACAUCUUUGAACGAUAGGUCACCUAACCCAAACUUUUCACUCUUAGGUUGUCCUUUUCUCUUGUUUUAACCCGAAAGGGCUGAAAAUAUCAACAUUUCAGGUAUUCUGUUUGGAUAAUGUGCAAAACUUGUGGCUUCACUAUUAAAAAAAAUUAACGAAUGUAUUUUUCUUAAUGUGGUUAAACUAUUUAAAGAUUUGUAUGCAAAAUAUUUCUGCUCAAUUUGUGGUCAAUGAAACUAAAAUGUUUUAAUUUGAUAAAACACAACUAUGGGUUAAAGGUAUUUGCUUUGGGCAUCUUUUGAAAUUUUUAGAAUCUAGCUCCAUUGCCGUUAGAAAUGGUGUCUCCCAGUACUGCAAAGUGCUUCCACAAGUUUAAAAAAGAAUGGGCAGAAAAGGAACUGCCAACUAAAUCUAUUUAACAUGGGUAGAAAGUUUCGAUGGAAGCUCUUGGCUGCUGGUUCCCAACACAGCUCCACUGUUAGCCUGUGACCUUGCGUUUAACUUUUUUGAACUUUUGGUGACUUUCACAAAAGAGAAAUGAACUGGUUAAUACAAUAAACAAGACAUUUGAAACUUCAGCUACAU